rnacentral:rRNA from 1 species
UUAAAAUAUUAAGGGCACACGAAGGAUGCCUAGGAAGUAAGAGCCGAUGAAGGACGUGGUAAGCUGCGAUAAGCUUGGUGGAGUUGCAAUCGAACUGUGAUGCCAAGAUUUCCGAAUGGAGAAAUCUGCUAAGAUGGAGUCUUAGCACGAAAGAGGGAACCGCGUGAACUGAAACAUCUAAGUAACGCGAGGAAAAGAAAGUAAAAACGAUCCCCUAAGUAGCGGCGAGCGAACGGGGGUGAGCCCAAACCGUAAAUGUGCCAAGGAUGCAGCCGUUGCAUUUACGGGGUAGCGGGAAGAACGUCUGAAGAACUGCAAGGCAUUCGACAUUAUGAUACGCCGAACUAGAAAGGUCCUGGAAAGGCCUGCCGUAGAGAGUGAAAGCCUCGUACAGGUAAACCGUAUCAAAUGUAUGUUCUCUCCCAAGUAGCACGGAACACGAGGAAUUCUGUGUGAAUCUGCGAGGACCAUAUCUCGUAAGGCUAAAUACUCUUACUUACCGAUAGCGCAUAGUACCGUGAGGGAAAGGUGAAAAGAACCCCGGGAGGGGAGUGAAAUAGAACCUGAAAUCGUGUGCUUACAAGCGGUCAGAGCCCUUUGGGGUGAUGGCGUGCCUUUUGGAGAAUGAUCCUGCGAGUUACGUUCAGUGGCAAGGUUAAGUUUAACGGAGCCGAAGGGAAACCGAGUCUGAAUAGGGCGACAUAGUCGCUGGGCGUAGACGCGAAACCUGGUGAUCUAAGCCUGUCCAGGGUGAAGCUGUGGUAAGACACAGUGGAGGCCCGAACUCACCGCCGUUGAAAAGUUGGGAGAUGAGGUAGGUUUAGGGGUGAAAAGCCAAUCGAACCAGGAGAUAGCUCGUUCUCUCCGAAAUGCAUUUAGGUGCAGCCUUGAGUGUUCAAUUAUGGGGGUAGAGCACUGAAUGACCUAGGGGGCAUACUGCUUACUGAAGUCAAUCAAACUCCGAAUACCAUAAUUCUAGAGCUCAGGAGUGAGACUAUGGGAAUUAACUUCCAUGGUCAAAAGGGAAACAACCCAGACCACCAGCUAAGGUCCCUAAUUAUAACUAAGUGGGAAAGGAGGUGGAGAUUCACAAACAACCAGGAGGUUGGCUUAGAAGCAGCCAUUCCUUUAAAGAGUGCGUAAUAGCUCACUGGUCGAGAGUCUCUGCGCCGACAAUGUAACGGGGCUAAGUUAUAAACCGAAGCUGUGGAGUUGCGUAAGCGACUGGUAGGAGAGCGUUCUGUAGGCCGUUGAAGGAGAAUCGACAAGAGACUCUGGAGGUAUCAGAAGUGAGAAUGCAGGAAUAAGUAGCGAGAAUGGGGGCGAGAAUCCCCCACGCCGGAAGACCAAGGGUUCCAGGGUAAAGUUUGUCUCCCCUGGGUAAGCCGGGUCCUAAGCCGAGGCUAGAUUGCGUAGGCGAAUGGAAAACAGAUUAAUAUUUCUGUGCCACUGAUAUUAAGUGAUGGAGGGACGCAGGAGGUUAUGCACGCUGGCGAACGGAAGUGCCAGUUCAAGCAUGUAGCGUGGUCUAGUAGGAAAAUCCGCUAGACUAGACGUGAGGUGUGAUGAGGAGUCGUAAGAUGGAAGGUGCAAAUACCACACUGCCGAGAAAAGCUUCUAAGCGUUAUAAAGAUAUUAGUGCCCGUACCCGAAACCGACACAGGUGGUCAGGAUGAGAAAUCUAAGGCGGACAGGCUAACUCUCGUUAAGGAACUCUGCAAAAUAGCCCCGUAACUUCGGGAGAAGGGGUGCCUCUUUUGGUGAGCGUACACGCGACGCAAAGCUAAGAGAGGCCGCAGUGAAGAGUCUCAGGCGACUGUUUAACAAAAACACAGGUCUAUGCUAAGCUGUAAGGCGACGUAUAUGGGCUGACACCUGCCCAGUGCCGGAAGGUUAAGAGGAGGAGUGAGAGCUCCGAAUUGAAGCCCCGGUGAACGGCGGCCGUAACUAUAACGGUCCUAAGGUAGCGAAAUUCCUUGUCGGGUAAGUUCCGACCUGCACGAAUGGUGU